GAUCUGAUAGCACAACGGUUAGUGCCUAUACUUGACUUAGGUAGCGUAAAGUAGACGAUCUCUGUUCGAUUCGGGGUCAGGUCG